rnacentral:rRNA from 1 species
CCCUUUGGGUGUGACUGCGUACCUUUUGUAUAAUGGGUCAGCGACUUAUAUUCUGUAGCAAGGUUAACCGAAUAGGGGAGCCGGAGGGAAACCGAGUCUUAACCGGGCGUUAAGUUGCAGGGUAUAGACCCGAAACCCGGUGAUCUAGCCAUGGGCAGGUUGAAGGUUGGGUAACACUAACUGGAGGACCGAACCGACUAAUGUUGAAAAAUUAGCGGAUGACCUGUGGCUGGGGGUGAAAGGCCAAUCAAACCGGGAGAUAGCUGGUUCUCCCCGAAAGCUAUUUAGGUAGCGCCUCGUGAAUUCAUCUCCGGGGGUAGAGCACUGUUUCGGCUAGGGGGCCAUCCCGGCUUACCAACCCGAUGCAAACUGCGAAUACCGGAGAAUGUUAUCACGGGAGACACACGGCGGGUGCUAACGUCCGUCGUGAAGAGGGAAACAACCCAGACCGCCAGCUAAGGUCCCAAAGUCAUGGUUAAGUGGGAAACGAUGUGGGAAGGCCCAGACAGCCAGGAUGUUGGCUUAGAAGCAGCCAUCAUUUAAAGAAAGCGUAAUAGCUCACUGGUCGAGUCGGCCUGCGCGGAAGAUGUAACGGGGCUAAACCAUGCACCGAAGCUGCGGCAGCGACACUGUGUGUUGUUGGGUAGGGGAGCGUUCUGUAAGCCUGUGAAGGUGUGUCGUGAGGCAUGCUGGAGGUAUCAGAAGUGCGAAUGCUGACAUAAGUAACGAUAAAGCGGGUGAAAAGCCCGCUCGCCGGAAGACCAAGGGUUCCUGUCCAACGUUAAUCGGGGCAGGGUGAGUCGACCCCUAAGGCGAGGCCGAAAGGCGUAGUCGAUGGGAAACGGGUUAAUAUUCCCGUACUUGGUGUUACUGCGAAGGGGGGACGGAGAAGGCUAUGUUGGCCGGGCGACGGUUGUCCCGGUUUAAGCGUGUAGGUGUGUGUUCCAGGUAAAUCCGGUUCACUUUAACACUGAGGCGUGACGACGAGGCACUACGGUGCUGAAGCAACAAAUGCCCUGCUUCCAGGAAAAGCCUCUAAGCAUCAGGUAACAUCAAAUCGUACCCCAAACCGACACAGGUGGUCAGGUAGAGAAUACCAAGGCGCUUGAGAGAACUCGGGUGAAGGAACUAGGCAAAAUGGUGCCGUAACUUCGGGAGAAGGCACGCUGACACGUAGGUGAAGUGAUUUACUC